rnacentral:misc_RNA from 1 species
UUAUAUCCGGUGAAAUUUUUUUAUCAUCAUUAAUACACAAGUUACAGGCAGAAGUAAGACGGAUAUAAACAAAGGGAGUAUGAAAAUAAAAUAAAAUCAACAAUAUUCAUCUGGUUUGAUCUGAGCUCCAAGGCUUGGGGAGGAGGAGUACUAUUUAGAAGUGUCCAUGCUACCUUCCUUAAUCUCUAUGUCCUUAACAGCAGCACUCAAUGAUGAAGAUGAAUCAGACCUUCCAUCAUUUCCCACCAGAUCCUCAUCGUCUGAUGCUUCUUCGCCCUUUUUACGGAGUUCUUUGACUCUCCGAUACUCAUCAUAAUGUGCUCGUCUGUGGUCCUUGAAGUUUUUAACCUUCCUUGAACCAGAAUCUGCAUCAUCUUGGUCCAUGACAUCGGUUUCAUCCUCAGAUGACGUCCAGCCAGACCGUCGGAAUUUAUUCUUACUGGAAGAAGCCAUCUCAUUCAAUGCACUGCGUAUGGCUUCUGCAUGUACUGCAUCACCAUUGCCUUCCUCAAAACUACCCCGUUUAGGAGAUAAAGAACCAUCAUCAUCAAUCAUGCGGUGAUAUGGUGUCUUUGGUUCAGUAAUUUUCUGCCUCACCGGUUUAUUUGCCUCAAUUUCUCCCAAAUUUGCCUCAUCCCACUUUACAUGUCCUCUUUUCAUUUUCUCAAUGUAACUCAAUCCUUCGAGCAGUUGCAGUUAAACUGGUUACCAUAAAAGAGACGA